GUGUCAGCCGCCGCGGUAAUACAGAGGUCUCAAGCGUUGUUCGGAUUCAUUGGGCGUAAAGGGUGCGUAGGCGGCGGGGCAAGUCGGAUGUGAAAUCUCAGGGCUCAACCCUGAAACUGCAUUCGAUACUGCCUUGCUCGAGGACUGGAGAGGAGAUUGGAAUUCACGGUGUAGCAGUGAAAUGCGUAGAUAUCGUGAGGAAGACCAGUGGCGAAGGCGGAUCUCUGGACAGUUCCUGACGCUGAGGCACGAAGGCCAGGGGAGCAAACGGGAUUAGAUACCCCAGUAGUCC
rnacentral:rRNA from 1 species